AGACAGCACAUACAUUUCAGCUGACUGUGUACUAUGUUCUGUCCAAACCUCAGGUGACAGUCCAUGAUAACAUCUCCUGUAGCGUGGUGUGUUCUGUGGAGAACGGGAGAGAGGUGACCCUGUCCUGGUACAAAGGAGGGAAGAUACACAACCAGACCAGCAGCCCUGACCACAUCACCCUCUCUAUACCUCUCAAGGUGGAUGAACAGAACAGAGACUCUUACAGAUGUGAGGCUGCCAACCCAGUCAGCAAGGAGACAGCUGUUGUUCCACAUUCCUGUAUAGAGAGUGAUCCCUUCAAGGUGACAGAUGGUGAUUGUCUUAUUACUGCAGUAAUCUGCAUUUUGGUUACUUUAGGACUUGUUGGACUUACAAUAUAUCAUAAGAAGAGGAGAAACGGACACUCACAUGCAGGAGGAGCGAACAGGUAUACCAGAACUGGAUCUGCUUAGAGACAACCCUGACCUGACAUAAGUUUAAGAUACAUCACAUGGCUGCCAGUGAGGAUGUUAACACUGCAUGAAGGUUGAGAGAGAACAGGAAGUUAAUGAGAGUGUGACAAGAUAAUUCACAUCCAAGAGAAGGCGUUACAUCCUAAAGUGAAUGUGGAGACAAAGUUAUAGUAAAUAUUUGUCUAGAAAACUUAAUGGACGCACAGUUAUUGGAGAAAAUUCCCAUUUAACCGUUGUGCUGUUAUCAUUUCCGACUUCCUUUGUUGGUCAUUCUCACAGUCUUUUGUUGAAUUGGGGCCUUGGUGAACAUCACUGAUAAAGACAAAUUCAAUAACUAUACCUAGGGUUAGGUAUAUGGGUGAUCCCAUUUUCAAGUGCCCAAUGUCCCAAUGUAUAGGUUAAAACAAAUGGAACCUCUUUUUAAUACAUUUCACUAGUGUGUUUUCUAUGCUUUGCUGGUCAGAAGCUUCUUUUCAGUUCUGUCUGUUCUGUUGUUUAAAUGUAGGUGCCUCCCCUGUAUCGUUUUAUAGCUGGUCAUUGUUUAGCUUGCCAGUGGAUAGCAGCUGUGUACAUAAAAAUGAGAUGUUUGAUGAGAUAAAGCCACCUGCUCGUUAGAGGCAAUGGCUAUUAAGCUACGUUGGAAACAAAGUCCACAAGUUUAUUUUUCCUUUCACCAUGUAGAUUUUAUUGAAACAUUUUUGAGUGGUCGAUCUUUAUUUGUAUUUUGACCCGAAAACAAUCUUUGGUGCCAUUUUACUCUUAUUGCUUUUCGCAAAAUGCAGACGUUAUUACGUGUACUUCAGAUCUUGCUUUGACAUCAACUGUGUUCAUGCAGUUUGAAAGUAAGAAAUCAACAGUUUAGUUUAUUAUGAUGGACCAUUUACUGCUCGUCUUUAUCUAGCUACACAGUAUGUAGCUCAUCAUCUCUUAAGAAUACAAUCACUCCCUCCAGCACGCACCUGCAGACUCUCCUAUUACAGCAUUUUAUGCUCCACCUACAUUAGCCCACAUACAGUGCUGUAUAUAACUGAAAAAUACAAACUCUACCGAUACGGUAGUGUGUCUUUGCACUGGAAGAUAUUUCAUUUUUAUACUUGUAUACUUCAGAGUAGUUACUGAGACGGAAUAUGAAGAUAAUAUUACAUUUACAUUUAUAUAAUUCACAUGUCACUAUUCUAAAAUACAGGAAAUGUCUGACUGAUUCUAACUGAUAAAUAGUUUUGUACCAAGCUUUUUUUGUACUGAGCUUCAAUAUAUCAAGUCAAAUACUUACCCAUACAUUUAAUUUCAAUCAAAUCAAAUCGUAUUUGUCACAUGCGCCAAAUACAACAGUGUCGGUAGACCUUACAGUGAAAUGCUUACUUACAAGCCCUUAACCUCUCUGGCCCACCCGGGAUGCAACUGCACCCCCUGCCAACAAUAAAUGCAAAUGCGCUACGCCAAAUGCUAAUAGCACUCGUUAAAACUCAAACGUUCAUUAAAAUUCACAUACAGGGUACUCAAUUCAAGCUACACUCGUUGUGAAUCUAGCCAACGAGUCAGAUUUGUAAAAUGUCUUUCGGCGAAAGCAUGAGUAGCUAUUAUCUGAUAGCAGGCAACAUGCCGAAAUACCAGAAGGGGACGUAAACAAAGGAAUUAGCGUAGCCGGCGCUACACAAAACGCAGAAAUAAAAUAUAAAACAUUCAUUACCUUUGACGAGAUUCUUUGUUGGCACUCCUAUAUGUCCCAUAAACAUCACAAUUGGGUCUUUUUUUCGAUUAAAUCGGUCCUUGUGUACCCAAAAUGUCAAUUUAUGAACACCGUCAGAUCCAGUAAAAACACAUUUUUUAAACGCGACGUUAUUUUUUAAAAUUAAAAAAGUUGCCUAUAAACUUUGACAAAACAAAAAUGCCCGCCAAAAAUUGUAUAAAUAAAAGUAAGAAAUAAUUCAGGAACAGCAGUAAAAUAACAAUAGCGAGGCUAUAUACAGGGGCUAACGGUACAGAGUCAAUUUGCAGGUGCACCGUUUAGUCGAAGUAAUUGAGCUAAUAUGUACAUGUAGGUACAGUUAUUAAAGUGACUAUGCAUAGAUAAUAAACAGUGAGUAGCAGCACUGUAACAAGGGGGGGGGGCAAUGCAAAUAGUCUGGGUUGCCAUUUGAUUAGAUGUUCUAGAGUCUUAUGGCUUGGGGGUAGAAGCUGUUUAGAAGCCUCUUAGACCUAGACUUGUCGCUCCGAUACUGCUUGCCGUGCGGUAGCAGAGAGCACAGUCUAUGACUAGGGUGGCUGGAGUCUUUGACCAUUUUUAUUGCCUUCCUGUGACAUUGCCUGGUAUAGAGGUCCUGGAUGGCAGGAAGCUUGGCCCCAGUGAUGUACUGGGCCGUACGCUCUACCCUCUGUAGUGCCUUGCUCGGAGGCCGAGCAGUUGCCAUAUCAGUCAGUGAUGCAACCAGUCAGUAUACUCUCAAUGGUGCAGCUGUAGAACCUUUUGAGGAUCUGAGGACCCAUGCCAAAUCAAUAUCAGUCUCCUAAGGAGGAAUAGAUUUUGUUGUGCCCUCUUCACGGCUGUCUUGGUGUGCUUGGGCAAUGUUAGUUUGUUGGUGAUGUGGACGCCAAGGAACUUGAAGCUCUCAACCUGUUCCACUACAGCCCCAUCGAUGAGAAUGGGGGCAUGCUCGGUCCUCCUUUUCUUGUAGUCCACAAUCAUGUCCUUAGUCUUGAUCAAGUUGAGGGAGAGGUUGUUGUCCUGGCACAACAUGGCCAGAUCUCUGACCUCCUCCCUAUAGGCUGUCACGUCAUUGUCGAUGAUCAGGUCUACCACUGUCAUCGGCAAACUUAAUGAUGGUGUUGGAGUCAUGCUUGGCCAUGCAGUCAUGAGUGAACAGGGAGUACUGGAGAAGACUGAGCACGCACCCCUGAGGGCCCCCGUGUUGAGGAUCAGCGUGGCACGUGGGUUCUUAGCUUAGAGAUGAGCUUUGAGUGCACUAUGGUGUUGAACGCUGAGCUGUAGUCAAUGAAUAGCAUUCUCACAUAGGUAUUCCUUUUGUACAGGUGUAAAGUGCAGUGUGGAGUGCAAUAGAAAUUGCAUCAUCUGUGGAUCUGUUGGAGCAGUAUGCAAAUUGGAGUGGGUUUAGGGUUUCUGGGAUAAUGGUGUUGAUGUGGGCUAUGACCAGCCUUUCAAAGCACUUCAUGGCUAAAGAUGUGAGUGCUACGGGUCAGUUGUCAUUUAUGCAGGUUACCUUAGUGUUCUUGGGCACAGGGACUAUGGUAGUCUGCUUAAAACAUGUUGGUAUUACAGACUCAGACAGGGUGAAGUUGAAAAUGUCAGUGCACUUGCCAGUUGGUCAGUGCAUGCUCAGAGUGCACAUCCUGGCAAUCCAUCUGUUCCAAUCUCUGCUAGCAAAACAGUCCUAUAGCUUAGCAUCUGCUUCAUCUGACCACUUUGUUAUUGACCGAGUCAUUGGUGCUUUAGUUUUCGUUAGUAAUCGGGAGGUUAGAAUUAUGGUCAGAUUUGCCAAAUGGAGGGCGAGGGAGAGCUUUGUACGCGUCUCUGUGUGUGGAGUAAAGGUUUUUUCCAUCUGGUUUUACAUUUAACAUGCUGGUAUAAAUGAGGUAAAAAUAGAUUUGACUUGUCCUGCAUUAAAGUCCCCGGCCACCAGGAGAGCAGCCUCUGGAUGAGUGUUUUCCUGUUUACUUAUGGCCGUAUACAGCUCAUUGAGUGUGGUCUUACUGCUAGCAUCGGUUUGUGGUGGUAUGUAGACAGCUUCGAAAAAUACAGAUGUAAACUGUGUGAUACAGCGUAUCAUGAGAUACUCUUCCUCAGGCGAACAAAACCUUGAGAAUUCCAUGGAUUUCGUGCACCAGCUGUUGUUUACAAAUAUACAUAGACCGCCACCCCUUGUCUUACCAGAGGCCGCUGUUCUAUCCUGACAAAAAAGGUUAAAACCUGCCAGCUGUAUGUUAUACGUCCAGCCACGACUCGGUGAAACAUAAGAUAUUCGUUUUUAAUGUCCCAUUGGUAGGAUAUACAUGAUCUACUAUUUUAUUAUUGAUUGAUUAUACAUUGGCUAAUAGGACCGAUGGUACAGGUAAAUUACCCUCUCGCCGACGGAUCCUAACAAGGCACUCGGAUCUUUGUCCAUGAUACCUCCGUCUCUUUCUCCUGCGAAUGACCGGGAUGAGGGCCCUUUCGAGCCACUGAAAGUAACCCCCCCAUCCGAC